rnacentral:rRNA from 1 species
AUUGAACGCUGGCGGCAGGCCUAACACAUGCAAGUCGAACGAGUGGCGGACGGGUGAGUAAUGUCUGGGAAACUGCCUGAUGGAGGGGGAUAACUAAUGGAAACGGUAGCUAAUACCGCAUACCAUCGGAUGUGCCCAGAUGGGCUUAGCUAGUGGGUGGGGUAAAGGCUCACCUAGGCGACGAUCCCUAGCUGGUCUGAGAGGAGGACCAGCCACCCGGGAACUGAGACACGGUCCAGACUCCUACGGGGGGCAGAAGUGGGGAAGAUUGCACAAUGGGCGCAAUCCUGAUGAAGCCAUGCCGGGUGUAUGAAGAAGUCCGUCGGGUUGUAAAGUACUUUCAGCGGGGAGGCGUUACCCGCAGAAGAAGCACCGGCUAACUCCGUGCCAGCAGCCGCGGUAAUUC